AUGGAAGCAGAAUUAACUGCUUUGGACACAGCUACUGUUGAGGCAGAAUGGCUGCGUGAGCUCUUGAUGGACUUGCCGGUUGUUGAAAAACCUGUACCGGCUAUUCUUAUGAAUUGUGAUAACCAAACGGUUAUCGCUAAAGUGAACAAUUCUAAAGAUAAUGCAAAGUCAUCAAGACACGUGAAAAGACGUUUGAAGUCUGUCAGGAAGUUGAGAAACUCCGGAGUAAUAACUGUUACGUAUAUACAAACAGACAAAAACCUGGCAGAUCCCUUUACAAAGGGACUAUCACGAAAUGUGAUAGAUAUUGCAUCGAGGGAGAUGGGUAUGAUACCCAUAGCAGUCUUGAAAGAACACGCCUAUAUGAGUUCUGACUGUAAACGUCGCAGUCUAUGA
rnacentral:rRNA from 1 species